GGCAUAAACAACUACACCUGUCAAUGCGAAAGAGGAUUCACUGGAUUUAACUGCGAGCAAGAGAUUGACGAGUGCCUUUCGUUUCCUUGCAUUAACGGUACUUGCGUUGAUAAAGUCGAUGGGUUUGACUGUUUCUGCCAAGCAGGAUUCAAUGGCGUGCGAUGCGAUGUGGACAUAGACGACUGUCUUCCAGUCUCGUGUGGCAAUGGGACGUGUAUUGAUCACGUCAACAACUACAGUUGUAUAUGUAACGCGGGCUUUACCGGUCCACACUGUGAAGUCCUCAUUACACAUUGCAGCAAUGAUUC